rnacentral:rRNA from 1 species
UGCUGCUUCGCUGACGAGUGGCGGACGGGUGAGUAAUGUCUGGGAAACUGCCUGAUGGAGGGGGAUAACUACUGGAAACGGUAGCUAAUACCGCAUAAUGUCGCAAGACCAAAGAGGGGGACCUUCGGGCCUCUUGCCAUCGGAUGUGCCCAGAUGGGAUUAGCUAGUAGGUGGGGUAACGGCUCACCUAGGCGACGAUCCCUAGCUGGUCUGAGAGGAUGACCAGCCACACUGGAACUGAGACACGGUCCAGACUCCUACGGGAGGCAGCAGUGGGGAAUAUUGCACAAUGGGCGCAAGCCUGAUGCAGCCAUGCCGCGUGUAUGAAGAAGGCCUUCGGGUUGUAAAGUACUUUCAGCGGGGAGGAAGGCGAUAAGGUUAAUAACCUUGUCGAUUGACGUUACCCGCAGAAGAAGCACCGGCUAACUCCGUGCCAGCAGCCGCGGUAAUACGGAGGGCGCAAGCGUUAAUCGGAAUUACUGGGCGUAAAGCGCACGCAGGCGGUCUGUCAAGUCGGAUGUGAAAUCCCCGGGCUCAACCUGGGAACUGCAUUCGAAACUGGCAGGCUAGAGUCUUGUAGAGGGGGGUAGAAUUCCAGGUGUAGCGGUGAAAUGCGUAGAGAUCUGGAGGAAUACCG